rnacentral:tRNA from 1 species
AAAUAAGAAGCAAUCCUGCAUUUAAUUUCGACUUAAAAGAUAGAAUAAAUUUAUUCCUUAUUUA